rnacentral:rRNA from 1 species
UGCGUAGGCGGAUGCUUAAGUCAGAUGUGAAAGCCCUGGGCUCAACCUAGGAACCGCAUCUGAUACUGGGCAUCUAGAGUAUGGUAGAGGAUAGUGGAAUUUCAGGUGUAGCGGUGAAAUGCGUAGAUAUCUGAAGGAACACCAGUGGCGAAGGCGACUAUCUGGGCCAAUACUGACGCUGAGGUACGAAAGCAUGGGUAGCGAACAGGAUUAGAUACCCUGGUAGUCC